rnacentral:sRNA from 1 species
UAUAGUCCUUUAAUUUGGUUUUGUUAACCCAUUACUUUGAAGAUUGCUCUUCAUUUUAGGGUGUCAACACGAGAGUUUCUAUAUUUUAUUAUUUCAUACGUGUAUUAUCUUUUUGCAAAAAUAAAGUUAAAAUUUUUGCAAAUAUGAUACCUGAAUCAGAAGCUUAGUUACAUAAAAAGCUGAGGUAUAAUUUUUUUUAGAAACAUAAAAAAAAGAGCAAGUUGCAGAAACAUCAUUCACACUAGAUUUUUUAACCUGAGUAUUUAGCAAGUUAAAAGCUUACUCAUCAAGGAAGUCCCUGCACAAAAUCCUGUCAGCUACGUGUACAUUAAUUGAUUCAAUUUAGAUACUAUCAAGAUAUUCCAAACAUGCCUUAUUAACAUGUACCAUUAAGUGUAAUGUGUUCCCUUUAAAUAUUUAAUUUGCUAUCGCGUGAUUUUUGUAUUUUUAUGUGUAAAUAAGAAGUGGAUGUUCACGUAAACAUUUUGUGAAAAAGACUCUGACUCAGGUUGUAGUAUGUUUGUAUUGUCAAGCAAACUGACUUUAAAAAUUGUAGAUUUACUUGUAUUUCACUUUUUAAAUUGUAUGAGGAAUUAAUUAUCUAUAGUUUUGAACAUCAACAAUUCAUUAAUUAUUUUUUGUACAUGCAUAUCUUGUAAGAAAUACAAUGAAUUCAAUUUAAACAUGUCCAUGUUUUUAACAUGAAAAACAAUAAAAAUGUUAAAA